ensembl:piRNA 21ur-1575 ncRNA
UGAAGCACUGAUCCGGUUAAA